rnacentral:rRNA from 1 species
UACGGGGGGGGCAAGCGUUGUUCGGAAUUACUGGGCGUAAAGGGCUCGUAGGCGGCCCACUAAGUCCGACGUGAAAUCCCCAGGCUUAACUUGGGAACUGCGUCGGAUACUGGUGGGCUUGAAUCCGGGAGAGGGAUGCGGAAUUCCAGGUGUAGCGGUGAAAUGCGCAGAUAUCAGGAGGAACACCAAUGGCGAAGGCAGCUCGCUGGGACGUGACUGACGCUGAGACGCGAAAGCGUGGGGAGCAAACAGG